rnacentral:rRNA from 1 species
CAGUAGCCACGGGAAUACGUAGGGGGCAAGCGUUAUCCGGAAUUACUGGGUGUAAAGGGAGCGUAGACGGUUAAACAAGUCUGAAGUGAAAUGCCGGGGCUCAACCCCGGAGCUGCUUUGGGAACUGUAGAACUGGAGUGUCGGAGGGGUAAGCGGAAUUCCCAGUGUAGCGGUGAAAUGCGUAGAUAUUGGGAGGAACACCGGCGGCGAAGGCAGCUUACUGGACGACAACUGACGUUGAGGCUCGUAGGCGUGGGUAGCAAACAGGAUUAGAACCCCUGUAGUCCCUGUCUCUUAUACA